rnacentral:rRNA from 1 species
ACUCCUACGGGAGGCAGCAGUGGGGAAUAUUGCACAAUGGGCGCAAGCCUGAUGCAGCCAUGCCGCGUGUAUGAAGAAGGCCUUCGGGUUGUAAAGUACUUUCAGCAGUGAGGAAGGUGGGUAUGUUAAUAGCAUAUUCAUUUGACGUUAGCUGCAGAAGAAGCACCGGCUAACUCCGUGCCAGCAGCCGCGGUAAUACGGAGGGUGCGAGCGUUAAUCGGAAUUACUGGGCGUAAAGCGCAUGCAGGUGGUUGUUAAGUCAGAUGUGAAAGCCCGGGGCUCAACCUCGGAAUUGCAUUGAAACUGGCAAACUAGAGUACUGUAGAGGGGGUAGAAUUUCAGGUGUAGCGGUGAAAUGCGUAGAGAUCUGAAGGAUACCGGUGGCGAAGGCGGCCCCUGGACAGAUACUGACACUCAGAUGCGAAAGCGUGGGAGCAAACAGGAUUAGAUACCCCUGGUAGUCAGUC